rnacentral:rRNA from 1 species
AAAUUGAAGAGUUUGAUCAUGGCUCAGAUUGAACGCUGGCGGCAGGCCUAACACAUGCAAGUCGAACGGUAGCACAGAGAGCUUGCUCUCGGGUGACGAGUGGCGGACGGGUGAGUAAUGUCUGGGAAACUGCCUGAUGGAGGGGGAUAACUACUGGAAACGGUGGCUAAUACCGCAUAACGUCGCAAGACCAAAGAGGGGGACCUUCGGGCCUCUUGCCAUCAGAUGUGCCCAGAUGGGAUUAGCUGGUUGGUGAGGUAACGGCUCACCAAGGCGACGAUCCCUAGCUGGUCUGAGAGGAUGACCAGCCACACUGGAACUGAGACACGGUCCAGACUCCUACGGGAGGCAGCAGUGGGGAAUAUUGCACAAUGGGCGCAAGCCUGAUGCAGCCAUGCCGCGUGUAUGAAGAAGGCCUUCGGGUUGUAAAGUACUUUCAGCGGGGAG